rnacentral:rRNA from 1 species
AACGAACGCUGGCGGCAGGCUUAACACAUGCAAGUCGAACGCACCUUUCGGGGUGAGUGGCAGACGGGUGAGUAACGCGUGGGAAUCUACCCUUCUCUACGGGAUAGCUCCGGGAAACUGGAAUUAAUACCGUAUACGUCCUGAGGGAGAAAGAUUUAUCGGGGAAGGAUGAGCCCGCGUUGGAUUAGCUAGUUGGUGGGGUAAAGGCCUACCAAGGCGACGAUCCAUAGCUGGUCUAAGAGGAUGAUCAGCCACAUUGGGACUGAGACACGGCCCAAACUCCUACGGGAGGCAGCAGUGGGGAAUAUUGGACAAUGGGCGCAAGCCUGAUCCAGCCAUGCCGCGUGAGUGAUGAAGGCCCUAGGGUUGUAUAGCUCUUUCAGUGGGGACGAUAAUGACGGUACCCACAGAAGAAGCCCCGGCUAACUUCGUGCCAGCCGCCGCCGUAACAC